UGGAAAAGGGCGUAUGGGGAAUGCCUAGGCUCUCAGAGGCGAAGAAGGACGUGAUAAGCUGCGAAAAGCUGCGGGGAUCGGCACACACGAUAUGAUCCGCAGGUAUCCGAAUGGGGCAACCCGUUAUAUUGAAGGUAUAACAUCCGCAAGGAGGCAAACCCGGGGAACUGAAACAUCUAAGUACCCGGAGGAGGAGAAAACAAAAGUGAUUCCGAUAGUAGCGGCGAGCGAAAUCGGAUUAGUCCAAACCGUACAUGUUCCGGCAUGUGCGGGGUUGUAGGACCACGACAUUCGAGAUGUGAUGAACUAGAACGCUUUGGAAAUAGCGGCCAUAGAGGGUGAUAGUCCCGUAUAGGCAAAGAGCAUUAAGAUAGUGGUAUCCUGAGUAGUGCGGGGCACGUGAAACCCUGUAUGAAUCCGGCGGGACCAUCCGCCAAGACUAAAUACUCCUGAGAGACCGAUAGUGAACCAGUACCGUGAGGGAAAGGUGAAAAGCACCCCGACAAGGGGAGUGAAAUAGUUCCUGAAACCGGAUGCCUACAAGCAGUCGGAGGGCGAAAGCCUGACGGCGUACCUUUUGUAUAAUGGGUC
rnacentral:rRNA from 1 species